rnacentral:rRNA from 1 species
GGGGAAGAUAACGACGGUACCCAAGGAGAAAGCACCGGCUAAAUACGUGCCAGCAGCCGCGGUAAUACGUAUGGUGCAAGCGUUGUCCGGAAUUACUGGGCGUAAAGAGUUCGUAGGCGGUUAGAUUAGUCAGAAGUGAAAGGCUACGGCUCAACCGUAGUAAGCUUUUGAAACUGUCUAACUUGAGUACUGGAGAGGAAAGCGGAAUUCCUAGUGUAGCGGUGAAAUGCGUAGAUAUUAGGAAGAACACCAGUGGCGAAGGCGGCUUUCUGGACAGUAACUGACGCUGAGGAACGAAAGCGUGGGGAGCGAACAGGAUUAGAUACCCUGGUAGUCCACGCCGUAAACGAUGAGAACUAGGUGUUGGGGGUCGAACCUCAGUGCCGCAGCUAACGCAGUAAGUUCUCCGCCUGGGGAGUACGAUCGCAAGAUUGAAACUCAAAGGAAUUGACGGA